rnacentral:rRNA from 1 species
UACGUAGGGGGCAAGCGUUGUCCGGAUUUAUUGGGCGUAAAGAGCGUGUAGGCGGCUAUACAGGUCCGCUGUGAAAACUCGAGGCUCAACCUCGAGACGUCGGUGGAAACCGUAUGGCUAGAGUCCGGAAGAGGAGAGUGGAAUUCCUGGUGUAGCGGUGAAAUGCGCAGAUAUCAGGAGGAACACCGAUGGCGAAGGCAGGUCUCUGGGCCACUACUGACGCUGAGAAGCGAAAGCAUGGGGAGCGAACAGG